GAUGAACGCUAGCGGCAGGCUUAAUACAUGCAAGUCGAACGAACAGCAAUGUUAGUGGCGCACGGGUGCGUAACGCGUAUGCAACUUGCCUUUAACUGGGGGAUAACGUUUCGAAAGAGGCGCUAAUACCGCAUAAUACAGUGAAGACACAUGUUUUUAUUGUUAAAGCUCCGGCGGCUAAAGAUGGGCAUGCGUAGGAUUAGCUAGUUGGUAAGGUAACGGCUUACCAUGGCGACGAUGGGUAGGGGUCCUGAGAGGGAGAUCCCCCACACUGGUACUGAGACACGGACCAGACUCCUACGGGAGGCAGCAGUGAGGAAUAUUGGACAAUGGGGCGCAAGCCUGAUCCAGCCAUGCCGCGUGCAGGAUGACGGUCCUAUGGAUUG
rnacentral:rRNA from 1 species